GCGCCCUUCUAGGCCUCCGGGGCAGGGGCACCGCACUUACCUGGCGUCCAGCCCGCGGCCCAGCAUCAUGAUGGCGGCCGGGAGGGAAGGGGAGCCGCGGCGCACGCUCCGCUUACACCCAGUUCCCAUGGACACCGAGCGCCGCCCACGGCCCGGGCUGCUGAGCCUGGCCCUCCCCCAACGCCUUUCUGGGUAAGAGUAAAACUGAAGGAUGCCAAGACUCGUUGCCUCCCAGCCAGUCCCCUGUGUAAGACGGAAAGGACGAUUCUGUAUCCUCAUAAUGACAACUUCUACCCGCCGGUCACAUUCGUCUCUUUUUCUAGGGCUGAGGACAAGGAGGCUCAGACAUCCCGCUGUAUUCCUCCCGAGUACAGAGAGACUGCAGCAUUCCUGGGCAAGAGAUACACAGCUGUAGGUAUCUGAUCUCUACUGAGGACCGUCUAACCCCGAGUUUAGAAAUGUUCUCAUCACGAGGCCUCACAUACACUCUUAUCCAAAGCCCAUUGAAGUCAAAGAAAGAUUCCCACUGACUGGACUAGGAUUUUUGAAUCAGACCCAUACCCUGGACAUCGAACAACAUGGGAGAUACGAUCCCCUUGAGGGAUGCUAGGAGUCUUUCAGCAAUGGGAAACAGUUGUCCAUCAUCGCAGACUGGAACCCCUUGUGUGCAAGCCUCAAGCACACAAACCAGAAAUCAUUUCAGCCAUCACUGAAGUGCAACCACCUCUGGACUGGAAUGUAGCAGCAUUUCAGUAGUUAGCAUAUCCUGGAUAUAUAUGUAGAACAUCACUGCAACAUACAACCACCUUCAUUUCAGAUAAUGUAAUAGGCCAAGGGCCCUGAUCCAACAUCCAGUGAAGUCAAAGGAAAGUAGCAGUGGAUGAACUUCACAACUCAUCCUGAAAAGGACAUUAUGCCUAAUUAGACACCUCUGCCUGGAUAAACAAAAGGGAUAUUGCAUGUGAGUGAAAUUUCAGUGGAAUGCUCUGCAAGAACAAAUUUUAAAUUAUACGUACACUUAUUUUUGGCUAUCAGUGCAACAAGAAUAUUUGGUUCCUCUGAAAUAUGUAUAAACAUUUGACCUAUU